rnacentral:rRNA from 1 species
UACGGGGGGGGCAAGCGUUGUUCGGAAUUACUGGGCGUAAAGGGCUCGUAGGCGGUUUGUCACGUCGGGAGUGAAAACUCAGGGCUCAACCCUGAGCGUGCUUCCGAUACGGGCAGACUAGAGGUAUGCAGGGGAGAACGGAAUUCCUGGUGUAGCGGUGGAAUGCGCAGAUAUCAGGAGGAACACCGGUGGCGAAGGCGGUUCUCUGGGCAUUACCUGACGCUGAGGAGCGAAAGCAUGGGGAGCGAACAGG